CUGGAGAUGAAAUUUCAAUCUGGUGAUCACGUGGUCAUCAAUCAACACUGAAUUAGCAGAACAAUUUGACUUACAGCUUCCUGUUUAACAAUUUGCUAUACUUUAUGAAAACGCCUUUUCCAAUGACUGAAACUUUGUGCUUCACAGAAUGUCUGUCUGUCUGAAUGUCUAUUUUGGGAGUAUAGCAAGCUUAAAGACAUCAUCCUUAUGACAAUUUUCUUAAUCUGGACAGAGUUACAAACUAGAAUAUCCUUUCACCAACAUACGUAGCUUUCUCCUUUUGAACACGUGUAUUUUACUAGAAGAGAACACCAACCCAAAGUAAAUUUUCACAUGCAAAUAAACCUUUUUUUUUUUUUUUGGCAGAAAUGUAUUUCAGUAGAGCUGCAGUGAAAGUAGAACAAAGAGAUUGCAACAAACUUCCUGCCACAUACGAAAAACUUCUGCAAUAAUGGCCUUGUUUGCAUGACAUGAUUUUGAGGAAAACCCUUCAUAGCAUGAGGGCAAAGUGCCAGUAGUUGAACACUUGGGCACCUCUCUAAGACCUAAGAUGUCUUGCACAACAAUUGGGUCCUCAACUACCGCCUAUCACAGCAGUGGGGUAUUUCACCCAGGGAAUAGAGGAGUUGUAGUUAUGCACUUCAGCCCCAGAAGAGGUUCAAAUGCACAUCUUCCCUAGGAUAAGAGAGCCCCAGCAACAAGGUGGGUAAGCUCCUCUUUCAGUGCACUAAAUGUAAUGUAAUGAACCUGCAGUUGCUCU
ensembl:lncRNA